rnacentral:lncRNA from 12 species
UCUAAACUUGCCAAGGGGCAGGAUUUCUUGCCAGCCUGUUCUGAAAAGCCUUCAUUUUCCUUAGCUUUACAAAGUCAUCUGUCCUUUACCAAGAUAAUAAUGUUGAUCCAAAUUUGUGACAUUUUAUGUUUGGACAAAGCGUCCCUUCCAUGGCCUACCCCUACCCUUAAAAUGUACUUCCCCCUUAAGCAAUCCAAAGCCCAUUUGGAAUAGGCAAGCCAACCGCCCCUUCUCUUUGUGAUGUGCUCCUGUUAUCCUCUCCAUACUCUCCAUUCCUGGUACACUUCAAACUUCUGUGCUUCGCAAUCCAGGUACUUCUACCCUUCGAGUCCUUCAAGUUUUCAUCUCCAUCCCCUUCUCUGUGCCUAACACUCAAUACAAAACAAGACAGACUCUCCAGAUCCUCCUUCCUUGUACCAUCAAGACAAGCAAACAUAUUCUUUCCAUUAUGCGAUUUUUAUUGAAAAUCCUUAUGAAUAACAAACCGGACAUAAGUGUAGGGAAAUUAAAAACAUCCUGAAUUUUAUCAAAGACUUUCUAGUUGGAGCGCCAAGUCUGCUUCUCAUAUGAAGGAAUGGAAGAAACUUAGGGUUUGAAACUUUAAUUUU